AUGGCGAACUCGCACAUGUUCAGCCUGCGCCGGAGCAAGGCUAACUUCAACCGCAUCAUCUCGCUCUUCUCCGGCGUCUUGGCGGCUGGCAAGUGGUUCGACAACAUUUGCAAGUGGAAGAACCCGCUGACUACCAGCCUCGUCCACGUGUUGUUCUUGAUCCUUGUGUGCUACCCGGAGCUGAUCUUGUCGACGGUGUUCUUGUACAUAUCCCUGAUCGGGGUGUGGAACUACCGGCGAAGGCCGCGUAACCCACCGCACAUGGACACGGUGUUGUCGCAUGCGGAGCAGGCGCAGCCGGACGAGCUGGAUGAGGAGUUCGACACGUUUCCGACGUCCAAGCCGGGCGAUGUGGUGCUUAUGAGGUAUGACCGGCUGAGGAGUGUCGCCGGCAGGGUGCAGACGGUGGUCGGUGACCUGGCCAUGCAGGGAGAGCGCGCCCAGUCCCUGCUCAACUGGCGCGACCCUAGGGCCACCGCUAUGUUCAUCACAUUCUCAUUCAUCAUCGCCAUCGUGCUCUACGUAACGCCAUUUCAGGUGGUGGCCGUCCUCGCUGGCCUGUACCUCCUCGGGCACCCCCGGCUCCGGAGCAAGCAGCCGUCGGCGCCCUUCAACUUCUACAAGCGUCUCCCAGCCAAGGGUGAUAUGCUCCUAUGA
rnacentral:rRNA from 1 species